UAAAUACAUUAUAUACAACAAAAUACUAUUUAUAAUUUUCUAAAAAUAAAUUAUCAUUAAACUGAACAGGCUACUUAAUUACCAUAGUAUUCCUUUUGUAUCAGGAUAAUAUUAAUAAUUUUAAUCAUUUAAAAAUCCCGAAUUUAAUAGAACUAAUUACAUUAAACCAACCUGUAACACAAAUUACUUAAAAUAUAAUUAGAAACUAAACAUCAAACGAAAUUAAAAAUAUCUGGUUAUUUACACACAACAUAUAAAGAACAAUCACUUUACCUUAUUUUUUAAAAAUAAAUCUUUAUUAAAACUAAUAGUAUUUAUACAGUAUCACAACUAAUCUACUUAUUUAAAUAAUAAUUAACAAAAAUCCCCCAUUAAUAAUAUCGUUACUUUAUAAAUAAGUAAUUUUAAAAUUUAAUUUUUACUAAAAAACUAAGUUUUAUAAAAUAGACUGUUUAACAAAAACAUAACUUUUAGAUUUUACUAAAAGCGCCUCCUGCUCCAUGAUCCUAAAUAGCCGCAGAUUUCCUGUGCUAAGGUAGCAUAAUCACUUGUCUUUUAAUUUAAGAAUAGUAUGAACGGAAAAACUAUUUUUUACUGUUUCAAUAUAAAGUAAUAAAAUUACCUUAAAAGUAAAAAUCCUUCUAAAACAAGAAAGACGACAAGACCCUAACAAACUUUACUAAAGUUAAGCUGGGGCAGCUUUUUAAAAAAAUCUUAAUAAACAUCAACUUAUAAUAUUAAAUCAAUGUUACUGUAGGGAUAACAGCAUAAUUUUAUUAGAAAGCUCUUAUAAAAAAUAAAGAUUAUGACCUCGAUGUUGAAUUAAAUGUCUACAAUAAGUAAAAAAAUUGCAAGAAAGUCUGUUCGACUUUUAAAAAUUUACAUGAUUUGAGUUCAGACCGGUGUAAGCCAGGUCGGUUUCUAUCUUCUUUUAAUAAACCCCAGUACGAAAGGACCAUGUUUUAAACUAAUAACUAU
rnacentral:rRNA from 1 species